AUCCCCAGCAACGUCUACCUAAAGAAGGAAAGGCCAGUUUGCAUUUCAAUCGAAGGUCAUGGAGAUCAUUACGAAAAGGUGUCAUACAGUGGAGAAGAGGUUGGGUGAGAACGGUACGUUUUGCAUCAUUAUCAAGAAGGUAAAAAAAGCCGCAAGGCUUGAGAGGAGGGGUGAGAAAAAAUUGUAUAAAAGGCGGGAGAAAGUCGAUAGGUAUCAGUCGAGUGAGUGUCUCCGACACGGCAACAGCUGCAGUAUUCGUCGUAAUAUCAGUUCGCAAUUAUGGUUAAUUAUGGCGUUGUGUUGCUGUUGGGUGUUGUAUCGUUGAUGUUGACCACGAGAGAAAAUCUUUUAAAAGGAAAGAAAAAGGGCAACGGAAGUCAAUCGAGUAAGCAUCUCCGAACGGCAGCAGCUGCAUUCUUCGUCGUAUUAUCAGGUCACAAUCACGGGUUCCUGAUUUGUUUGAUGAUCGUGUGUCAUCAAAUUUGACUAGAGUUCUGAAUUCUUAGUGAUGGACUGUUUGCAGAAUAAAAUAGAAUUUGACUGAUGAUACAUAUAUUUGGCCAGGAUUCAGACGCUGGCCAGGAUGGCGAUGUUGGUGGAUGAGACGCGUCGCAACCAUCUCUAAUUCACCAAAGUCAAUCUGCAGACGGGUUGGUGAACGCUUGAAGGUCACGGGAUUAGGUAAAACUGUCGUCUGUCGUGCAGUGGUGUGCAGUGCAGUGCAGAGGUUGGGUGAGAACCAUGCAGUGGUGUAGAGGUUGGGUGAGAAAGUCUGUGCAGUGGUGUAGAGGUUGGGUGAGAACCGUGCAGUGGUGUAGAGGUUGGGUGAGAACGACACGUGUUGCUUCAUUUCCAAGCAGGUACAAUUGCCGCAAGGCUUAGGAGGUGAGUCAGGGUAAGAAAAAGUAGUAUAAAAGGAGAGAGAAAAGUCAGUUUGAGAUCAGUCGAGUGAACAUCUCCGACACGGCAACUACUGCUGCGCACCAUUGGUAACCAACCUCCUUCUUCAUCGUUUAACCAGUUCGCAAUCACGGUUAACUAUGGCGUCGUGCUGCUGUUGGGUGUUGUAUCGUUGAUGGCUGGGUCGACCACUGGUGUACCGAUGUCUCCUGGGUCCGCAAUGCUGCUGCCUCCCACACAACAACAACAUACGCAACCACCGGAUACUACACCACCAAGGCUCCAGAGUCCUACCACAACUUAGGAUGCCCCGAGCUACUACACCGAAGCUCUGAAGUAUAACUCUACCCCGAGCCACACCAACAAAGAUCCGGCGUACAACACCAAGGCUCCCAAGUACUACACCACUAAGGCACAGGAAUACUACACGAUUACGUAUGCUGCCCCUGCCUACUACACCGAGGCCCCUAAUUACUACAACACUGAAGCACCCAAGUACUACACUACAACCUACACUGCCCUAAGCUACUACAUUAACGCCCCGAAGUAUUACUCUGCGUAAAAGGAGUCGUUAAAAAAGAAGAUGUAAAAAGGAGUGAGAAAAGCAGGUGCAAUUGCCGCAAGGCUCGAGUUGAAAGGUGAAUCAGGAGAAGGAAAAAUCCGAUUGAACGAGAGAAAGGGCGAUGGAAAACAGUCGAAUGAGCAUAACAACUGGAUUGUUCAUCGUUAAACCAGUUCAUAAUUAUGGUUAACUGUUGCUUCGUUGUGUUGUUGAUCGUUGUAUGGCUGGGUCGACCACUGUGGUCGGUGUACCGAUGUCUCCUGGUUAUAGCUGAUAGCCUGAUACCAAACCGCAAUGCCGCCGCCUAACUACACAACAACUUUAACGACCAGUUACAACACCGAGGCCUAGACCGAGACCCACAAAUACUACACCACCAAGUCACCGAAGUAGGAUACGAUAACUUGCGCUUCGCCGAGCUAAUACACCGAUCCCCCGAAUUAUUACUUUGCCUCCAGUUGCACCACCAAGUCAGCGAAGUACUACACGACUACGUAUCCUGCUUAUCUUACUACACCGAGGCUCCAGCUACUACACCGAGGCUCCAGCUACUACACCGAGGCUCCAGCUACUACACCGAGGCUCCAGCUACUACACCGAGGCUCCAGCUACUACACCGAGGCUCCAGCUACUACACCGAGGCUCCAGCUACUACACCGAGGCUCCAGCUACUACACCGAGGCUCCAGCUACUACACCGAGGCUCCAGCUACUACACCGAGGCUCCAGCUACUACACCGAGGCUCCAGCUACUACACCGAGGCUCCAGCUACUACACCGAGGCUCCAGCUACACAACCACGACUGAUGCGGUCAAGGUUUACGUAGCCCCAACUUUCUACUCAACUACUGCCCCUUCGUAUUACGUUGAACCGAAAUACUGCACUGAAGCUUCAGGUUACUACACCGAAAAUCUGAAGUAUUACUCUGCUCAUAGUAACUACACCACUAAGGCACCUGAAUAGUACACUAAGACAUACGCUUCUCCAGAUUUCUAGAAGGAUUCUAAAUGCCAGAGCUGAUAUGAUGGAAAAUCUGUACACAUACAUAUACACAAUAUCAUAAUAGUUACUAGUCACUAGGAAUUGUUCUUUGAUGAGAAAAUAAAGUUUUUAAUCUGAGUAA